UAUUGUUCUUCAACGAGGAAUCCCUAGUAAGCACAAGUCACUAGCUUGUGCUGAUUACGUCCCUGCCCUUUGUACACACCGCCCGUCGCUACUACCGAUUGAAUGGCUUAGUGAGGCCUUCGGAUCGGAGGUGAGGACUAGCAAUAGACCUUACUCUCGAGAAGUUGGUCAAACUUGGUCAUUUAGAGGAAGUAAAAGUCGUAACAAGGUUUCCGUAGGUGAACCUGCGGAAGGAUCAUUACCAAUCUUUAGUGAGCCUGGACUUGUCCAUGGUCUCGCGAAAUCUUGUAUUUAAAACCUACUCUUUAUAAUUAAAAAAAAUGUAUUGAUGAUAAAUUAAGAUCACUUUCAACAACGGAUCUCUUGGCUCUCGCAUCGAUGAAGAACGUAGCGAAGUGCGAUAAGUAAUGUGAAUUGCAGAAUUCCGUGAAUCAUCGAAUCUUUGAACGCAAACUGCACUCUCUGGCAACCCGGGGAGUAUGCCUGUUUGAGGGUCAGUAUUAAUAAAAAUCGGUGCGUUGCAAAUUUUUGUGACGUUUCCGGAGUUUGAGUUAUCUUAACUUCGGUUUUAAGAGGCUUAAAAUUGACCUUUUUUUGUGCAUUUUAGACGUACAUAAAUCUUUUUUAUUCGUCUAUCCUAAUGCCAAAAUCUAUUAGAUGCGACCAUAUCUUGUGGUUUCGUGUCUAUAAAUUUUUCAUAAUUUGACCUCAAAUCAGGUAGGGAUACCCGCUGAACUUAAGCAUAUCAAUAAGCGGAGGAAAAGAAAAUAACAAUGAUUCCCCUAGUAACUGCGAGUGAAGAGGGACAAGCUCAAAUUUUAAAUCUGUCGGGUUUUACCUGAUCGAGUUGUAAUUUGAAGAAGCGUUUUCUGCGUAUUUGGGUCAGCCAGUCCUAUUGAUGAGCAUCAUGGAGGUGAAUAAUCCCGUCGAUGAUCAUGUGCUCUACGAUACGCUUUCUAAGAAGUUCAAGUUGGUUGGGAAUGCCAGCUAAAUGGGAAGGUAAUUCUCCUAGCUCAAUACGGCAAGAG
rnacentral:rRNA from 1 species